CGCUCUUUUUCCCAAGGGUCCCACUCACCAACCCACUAACCCUUUCUCUUUUCUUUACUCCUUUCCAUUUCCAUCGCAGAAACAACACACGCUCAAUGGCUUCGCAACAAGAAUCAGAGGUUCCCCUAAAGAAGAACACUACACCUCUACGCAACACCAAAUCAUACUUCCAAACUCCCAACGGCUAAAUCUUAACACCCAACAAAUCAAACCCACCGUUUACAUGACUCACGGCUACGGUUAUUGAAGAUGACAACAACAACGACCUUCAAGAAGGUGAGAUCCUCGACGAAGACGAUUCUUCCGCCACUUCCAAACCCCACACCACCGCCAUCGUCCAUCAACCUCAACCCCUCGAGAAUUCUUGGACCUAUGUACACUUUCGCCACUGUUGAAGAGUUUUGGAGAAUUUGCCUAUGGUGAAAGAGAAGGAACAAGAAAAGAAGGACAGGAAGAAGAGUGGGUGCCCUGAGAUAAAAAGGCUACAAGUUCUGUCAUGUAAAUUAUGAAGAUCCUCAUUUCAAUCUUGGUUUGCCUGUAUUUACCAUUCAUGGAAAUCACGACGAUCCAGCUGUCGUGGUAUGAGUGAUGUGCACCUUUGAUGUUAGUUGUAUCUAUAGUUUUUUUGGGUUCUUGAUUUUGUUUUUGUUUUUUUUCCCUUCCUGUAUAGUUGUCAUGUUUGCUUCUGUUUUGCUUUAAGUUAUUCUGUUAUAUAGUCUGAACACAAAAUGUUUGACAGGGUGCUAAUCAACUUUCUUUUCGGUGGAGUCUUUAUACUAGGAUAUAGAAUUUGGCUUCUCUGAGGUGAGGGGUUUGUUCACUUUAGGUGGGAAAGUUGUGGGAUUAUAACCGUUGAUUGGAAAAUCAAAGUUGUAGAUUUUAAGUUUAAAUAAUGUUGUAGUUUGUUAUUCACAUAUAUGUAUUUUGUCAUAGUCCAAUUAGUUGUUAUAACUUUACACUUCAAAGCACACUACUCACUUUGAAGGAGACAUUUUGAUUAUAACUCGUUCAGGCUAUAUGAAAAUCCAAUGGCCUUGGCUUGGUUUGCUCAUUGCCGCAUUUAAACUCGGUCAAUCAAGAAGAAAGAUGAUACGAAGAAAUAAUGUUUCAGGAUUUUCUUUGUGUUUGUUGGAAAUUAUUGGUCCUUUUGAAAGUUGGCAUUUUCUAACAUUUGACAUGAUCUAUGCUCGAUAACUUUGUUUACAAAUAUUAACUAUGUCUAGAGUUGUUAGCCUUGUACUUUGCAUUGUAGCAAAAAGAAUUCAGAGUAGCAUUGAGAAACAUGUUGUUUAUACAUAGUUGCAUAAGCAUGGGUUUUUACAUUAUGCCUAGAUUGUAUGUAAUGCUGAAAGUUUGAUGAUCUUGAUUUAUUUAUUUUGCUUGUUGGAUUUCUGACAGAAGAUCUCCGAAUAGGUGGAUUUAUACUAGGAAUAAUAGAAGGGGGAACAAGGGAUUUAGAACCUUAGCAACAACUAUUAAUAAAAAUAUAAAUAAUCAUGAUAGUAGAAUAAUAACUGCUUUCAGUUUUGUUGGGAUUUGUAGUUUUGUACGGGGUAGUUACAGAUCCUAUGAAGAGAUGGCAAAGAAAAAAGAAGAGGACGCUGCAAAUCUCACGAAGGAAGAGGAAGAGCAUAUGAAACUUCAGAAACAUGAAACCUUGCAAUUGCUCAAGAAAAAGGAAAAAACUGAAAACAUGAUCAAGGAAACAAAAUUGAACCGUUAGAAGAACAAAAUUGUCAUGAAAUCAUACUCACGAUUUGGUGAACAAUUUGGGUACGAUCACAAGUUGAAGGCUCUAGGCGAUUUAAAAGUUGAAUUGGUGUUUGAGCAGAGAUUGUAGUGUCUAUGGUUAUGAGAAAGGUAUGGACUCAACUGUUUUGAGAAAUCUUAAAAGUUGAAUUUGUUGUUGUAAGAUUGUUGAUGUAAUUCAAUUUUUUAGGCUAGAUGCAAUUUGUUUUCAUUGCUUCAAGAACAACUAGGCCAUAUCACUCCACAUGUAAAUUAAUGUUUUUUUUUUCUAGCUCGAGUGAUAUAUAUACUUUUGACAAAUCGAAUGAUGUGUUUGUAUCAAUUUUAAUGCUUGCAUGUUUUGAGUUUGAUUGCUUGAUUU